UUGGAUAACCCACUCACGUUUUAAAUCGAAAAGGUGUCGAAGGAUAUUGUCCCCGCCGGCAACAGCACCGCCUUCAGCCCACAUGCCAUGAUGCCAUAGCCACUCAACCUAAACUUUCUCAUUCAUUCUUACAAACAUCAAAUUUCUCAUUCCCCAAUGCCAAUAACAUCGUCUUUAACAUAUUUCUCGUACAAAUUUCCUUAGUUUUGGUCUCUGUUGCCGUUCUUAUUUCUUUGUAACGAUGAACACAAUUGCCCUUAUUCGCAACCGGGCCAUGAAAUCCAUUCGCAGGAUUCUCAUCAGUUCUCGGAACUCAUCGCCUUUUCUGUCUACACCUGCAAAUUCAGGUCAUGCUCCUCCUAUUGCUGGCAAUUCCCCGAGACCCCGUUUCAAUCAUCACCAGCCUUUGCAAAUGCAUCGCAUAAAGGGUAUUACGCAGAAAGUUUUAGGCUUGCCCUAUUCGAAUUUCGCCCCUUUAACAAUGCCCUUUAUUUUAAUCACGUCCAACAGGGACGUAUCUACCUUCAAGGUUCGAAAUUGCUCAACCUCUGUGGAGAGCCGUGGCCAUGACAACAAUUUUGAGAGGAUUUACGUACAGGGUGGCAUGAAUAACGUGAAGCCCUUGGUGGUGGAAAGUUCUCACGAGGAUGUUACAGACGAGAGAAAUUUAGGUGGUGAAGUGAAUGCGAGUGUGGGGAAGAGUAAAUGGGAGGAGUCAGACGUGGAAAAACAAGCAUGGAAGUUGUUGCAGGGAGCCGUUGUGACUUAUUGUGGCAACCCUGUGGGAACUGUGGCGGCAAAUGAUCCUGGUGACAAGCUACCCUUGAAUUAUGAUCAGGUCUUUCUCAGGGAUUUUAUCCCAUCAGCACUUGCUUUCUUGCUUAGAGGAGAAAGUGAGAUUGUCAAGAACUUUCUUCUUCACACAUUGCAGUUGCAGAGUUGGGAGAAAACAGUGGACUGCUACAGUCCAGGGCAGGGCCUGAUGCCUGCAAGUUUCAAAGUUAGAACUGUAGCUCUGGACGAAGAUAAACGUGAAGAAGUUUUAGAUCCUGAUUUCGGGGAAUCAGCUAUUGGUCGCGUUGCACCUGUAGAUUCAGGAUUGUGGUGGAUCAUCCUCUUGCGGGCUUACGGGAAGCUCACAGGAGAUUGCAGCUUGCAAGAAAGGGCUGAUGUUCAAACAGGCUUAAAAAUGAUCCUUAACUUGUGUUUAACAGAUGGUUUCGAUAUGUUUCCUUCGCUCCUAGUCACUGAUGGUUCUUGCAUGAUAGACAGGAGGAUGGGGAUUCAUGGUCACCCCCUUGAGAUCCAAGCAUUAUUUUACUCAGCUCUUCGCUGCUCACGUGAGAUGCUUGUUGUAACUGAGGGAACUGAUAAUCUUAUUAGAGCUAUUAACAACCGGCUCAGCGCUUUGUCAUUCCACAUUAGAGAAUACUAUUGGGUGGACAUGAAAAAGAUGAAUGAAAUAUACAGGUAUAAAACAGAAGAGUACUCCAUGGAUGCCAUCAAUAAAUUCAACAUCUAUCCAGAGCAAAUUCCACCGUGGUUAAUGGAUUGGAUUCCAGAAGAAGGUGGAUAUCUGAUUGGGAAUUUGCAGCCAGCUCACAUGGACUUCAGGUUUUUCACACUUGGAAAUCUUUGGUCCAUCGUAUCGUCAUUGGGCACCCCAAGACAGAACCAGGCUACAUUAAAUCUGAUAGAAGCAAAAUGGGAUGAUCUUGUGGGCCAUAUGCCUCUUAAGAUAUGUUAUCCUGCCUUGGAUAAUGAAGAGUGGCGCAUAACUACUGGCUCUGACCCAAAGAAUACCCCUUGGUCAUAUCACAAUGGUGGAUCUUGGCCAACCCUUCUGUGGCAGUUCACGCUGGCAUGCAUCAAAAUGGGGAGGACUGAACUUGCCCAGAAAGCAGUUGCUUUGGCUGAGAAAAGACUGCCAGUUGAUUCUUGGCCCGAAUACUAUGAUACACGCACUGGAAAAUUUAUCGGAAAACAAGCCCGGAUGUAUCAAACAUGGACCAUAGCUGGUUUCCUUACAUCCAAGAUGCUUUUGAAAGAUCCUGAGACGGCAUCCAGGUUAUUUUGGGAGGAGGAUUAUGAGCUUCUAGACAUAUGUGUUUGUGGACUUAGCAAGAAUGGCAGGAAAAGAUGUUCCCGUGGUGCUGCCAGGUCUGUAUCCAUCCCCAAACCUGUAUCAUGGUAUCAUUGUGACACAAAUAAGAGAGUUGGUUGCAUGGACAUUUUUGGAAGAUGGUGUUUACUGAGAAGUUACAGUCCUCAUUUUCAAUUCAACCUUGGUGUCAUGCAGGGUUUGAAAGCUCUUUGUGUGGUCAAUUAGCUCAUACUUUGGCCAUCAAGAUUGGUGUCCUAGGAUGAUCCAUAUAUGCUGACAAUGCACUCAUAGACAUGUAUGCCACUUGCUGGAUGCCAUGGAUGACACAAAAAUGGUUUUUGAGGUUAUCACAACCAAACUUAUGACUGUCGGACUACUUUGACCAUUGGAUACACUCAGAGCAGAAGCAUGCGAUGGUCUUAGAAUUUUCUGUCAAAUGUUUCUGCACAAUUUCUUGUUGACAAACAGGAGGAAGGAUUUAACUUCUCAAUCCCGCCACUUGUGCCUUUAUUGGUUUUGGUUUUUAGGGCAAGUAUGGAGUUGAGUCCAACCUUUCUGUUAUGAAUUCCAUGCUGCACAUAGUGUCAUUAUGUUUUCAGAGGCAAACCAAUUAUUAUCUGAAAUGACUGGAAAGACAUCAUCACAUUGAAUGCUUUGAUAGCUGGAUUUAUAUAGUCAAGAUUGUUUCUCCUUUACUAGUGAGGUAGAUGCAUGUACUAACUUAGCAGUUCUAUCUUGUGGCCAACAGCUUCACAUUGUAAUAGUUCAUACAGGCCUUGAUAACAACUUGGAAAUAUCCAAUGCUCUAACUUAUAUGUAUGCCAAGUGUGGAAAUACAGUUGAUUCACAAGAAAUAUUUAACAAAUGUAAAGCAUAAAUUUGGUCUCUUGGACUUCAAUGGUGAGUGGCCAUGGGGAUCAUGGAUAUGGUUGAAAAGCAGUUGAACUUUUCAAUGAAAUUGUAGGAUCAGAUAUUAAACCAGAUAGGAUGCUGUUUAUCACAAUUGCUUGUAGCCAUGCUGGACUAGUGGGUGAAAGUCUGCGACAUUUUAGAUUAAUGACUAACUGUUAUCUUAUAGUUCUGAAAAAGUGAAACAAACUAAUUGAGAACAUACAAUUUGAGGCAGAUGGGUCUAUGUGAGAGGCUUAUAAAUUGCAAAAUGAACUCAGUGUGACCAAAUUAGCAGGUUAUAAGGAACUUAUGCCUUGAUAUAAAAUAUUUAUGCUGCUGAAGCCACAACUAGACUGAUUUUUCUAGCUUGAAAAACUGAAGUGAAGUGUUAAAAAUAAAAGUGACUUAAAAGGAGUUGGAUUGAUCUGAGACUAGGUCUGCAGUUUUGUUGUUGGAUCGUUACAAAACUUUUACAAAAGUGGUAAAAACAAUCAAACUUUAUAUGAUUAAAAAAACAUUUUAACCCU